UAUCCCUAGGGUUUCAAAGAUUUCAAUGUCUGGAAUAAACAGAGCAUCAUCGGCAUUUUAUGGAUUCUAAAGAAAUGGAUAUCUCCUCCGAUCUUGACGAGCCCAUCCACGAUUCUAUACAACACUCCGCUGGUCUCCUUGUCUCUUCCAAGACCCUGCAAUCAAAGCUUCUCAUCUCCGAAGAGGUUUGCCACCGGCUUCAAGACCAGAUCUUCCUACUCCAAGAUCAAUUGAAGGAAAAAGAAGAAAGAAUCAAGCGAUCGAGGGCAGAGGCGAGUUUGAGUGCCCAAGCGUUGAGGAAAUAUGCCAAUGAGAAUCAUAGGUUGGCGGCGGAGUGUGGGGAACUGUCGAGGCAGUGCACGAGGUGGGGGGAGGAGUGCUUGCUCUAUGACCGAGAUAGAGAGGCGUUGAUGGAAUUUGGGAAUGAUGUGGAUGAACAGGCGAAGGAUGCUGAAGUUCGUGCUCUUGAGGCAGAGGAUGAGUCGAGGAGGCUUGUGGAAGAGAUAAAGUACUAUAAACAUGAAUGGGAGAUGCUCAUGAUCCAUGAAGUGAGAGUCACAGAGGAGUUAGGUGCAUUUAAGCAGCGGAUUGAUGAACUUGAACAUAAAAGGUUGCAUUUACAAGGAUGUAAUGAUGGUCAUCUUGCUUCCUGCCAAUGUUCUUCACUGAAGAAGGAGAAUCAAGAAUUACAGUUGCAGUUGCUAUCUUCUAUCCAUGGCAACGAAAGCAAAACUGUGGAAGGACAUUUUCUUGAGUCAAUGAUAUCUUCUAUGCUUGCAAAAGCCGACAUCACAAGACAUGUAAAAGAUGAAGUUGCAGCAAUCGGGCGCUCUUUCUUAGGGACAGAGGCGGGAGUCGAAUCAUGCCAGAGGCUGCUUAGACUGUGGGAAAGGUGAAAGUUUUGUUUGAAGAAAGUAACCUGUUGGAUGAGGAAAAUAAAAGGCUGCUGACACAUUAUAACUGGGAAAGUUACCAUCAAUGAUCCGGUGGCAAAGACACCGCCAACAAUUCUGCCCAGGGCAAGCACAAAUCAGGACCAAAGAUGAUGUCCUCUAUUGAAAGGAUAUCGAGGAUGGCAGCAUUGAGGAAGUUGCUGAACAACUCAUGAUUUUGUACGAAGACUGUUUGCAGGAGAAUUAUGAGCUAAUUGAAAGAUUAAAGCGGUCUAAUGAUGCAGAUCCUCCUCUAACCAGACGGGAUUCCAUACAUCUGAGGCCCAGGAGCUGGUGAUCUAAACGGUUCAUGUCAUGGGCCGAACGGAAGAUGCUGCUUAUAAAAGAUAUUACAGUAUGAUAAUCCUACAUGUGCGACGUGACUACAUGUUCUGAGAGGGUACCUUUUCCAACAUGCAUAUGUAAGAUUAACAAGGGCCGCCAUGUGACUGAUUUGGAUCACAAGAAGGUGGGCCCUAUAGAUGCUUUUUGUGGGGCUGGUUCGAUUGGGUGCUGUAUAUUUCAUCUGAAUAUUUUGGAGGAUGAAGUUCUUUUCUUCUC